UACGUAGGGGGCAAGCGUUGUCCGGAUUUAUUGGGCGUAAAGAGCGUGUAGGCGGCCAGACAGGUCCGUUGUGAAAACUCGAGGCUCAACCUCGAGACGCCGAUGGAAACCGUCUGGCUAGAGUCCGGAAGAGGAGAGUGGAAUUCCUGGUGUAGCGGUGAAAUGCGCAGAUAUCAGGAGGAACACCUAUUGCGAAGGCAGCUCGCUGGGACGUAACUGACGCUGAGACGCGAAAGCGUGGGGAGCAAACAGG
rnacentral:rRNA from 1 species